GACGAACGCUGGCGGCGUGCUUAACACAUGCAAGUCGAACGGAAAGGCCCUGCUUUUGUGGGGUGCUCGAGUGGCGAACGGGUGAGUAACACGUGAGUAACCUGCCCUUGACUUUGGGAUAACUUCAGGAAACUGGGGCUAAUACCGGAUAGGAGCUCCUGCUGCAUGGUGGGGGUUGGAAAGUUUCGGCGGUUGGGGAUGGACUCGCGGCUUAUCAGCUUGUUGGUGGGGUAGUGGCUUACCAAGGCUUUGACGGGUAGCCGGCCUGGGAGGGUGACCAGCCACAGUGGGACUGAGAUACGGCCCAGACUCCUACGGGGGGCAGCAGUGGGGAAUAUUGCACAAUGGGCGGAAGCCUGAUGCAGCAACGCCGCGUGCGGGAUGACGGCCUUCGGGUUGUAAACCGCUUUCGCCUGUGACGAAGCGUGAGUGACGGUAAUGGGUAAAGAAGCACCGGCUAACUACGUG
rnacentral:rRNA from 1 species